rnacentral:sRNA from 1 species
GUAUGUGAUGAGGCCUUCUUUGUGAGACAGGGUGAAAGCUCAGGAACUCCUGACACCAGCCUUCCCGUAGGCUUCUAAUACAGGGGCCUCUUACUGUCCCCCACUGAUCACAGGCUAUUAACUCUGCCUUCCCUUGCUGCCUCCUCUAAAGGGAAGACUUGUCCAGCACCCACUUAAUCACCUCCCCACUUGUUCCAUGUUGUCCAGUCUGGGCGGGCUCUGUUAGACCCAUCUGGUCAGGCUCUGUGUCUCUUGCUCAGAUCCUCAUCAUGGGACAGUUCUGUUAAAUUCAACUUCUCAGUGUUGGUUCUUCCUGUGGUGCUAGGAAGUAUACAAGCUGUCGCCCUGCGGGACAUUUUUGUUCAGGCCCAAAAUCGAGACAGCUCACCACCUUCUCUGCAGAUAGAAGAGCCAGAAUGGGAAAAGCGAAGAUCCAUCAACCUGUCUGAGCUCAUUGAUGUUUACAGUGAUGGUGUUGAGCUACUCCAGAUGGUGAAGGCACCAGAUUCCAACUGCAGCAACCUUCUGAUUACAACCA